rnacentral:rRNA from 1 species
AACGAACGCUGGCGGCAGGCCUAACACAUGCAAGUCGAACGCUCGUAGCAAUACGGGAGUGGCAGACGGGUGAGUAACACGUGGGAACGUACCCUUCGGUUCGGGAUAACUCAGGGAAACUUGAGCUAAUACCGGAUACGUCCGAGAGGAGAAAGAUUUAUUGCCGAAGGAUCGGCCCGCGUCUGAUUAGCUAGUUGGUGAGGUAAUGGCUCACCAAGGCGACGAUCAGUAGCUGGUCUGAGAGGAUGAUCAGCCACAUUGGGACUGAGACACGGCCCAA